rnacentral:lncRNA from 1 species
AAUUCAAAUAUUACUGUACCAUUUUGUAUUCAAUUAUCCUGCUUAAGGUUAAAAAAUUACCAGAGGGGAGCUCUUUGUAAGAUGCCAAGGAAAGAGUAAGAGACAAGUACCUGCAGUGUUUAAGUGUUUCUGCCAGAGGACGAUGGGACCCUGAUGUGGAGCUUCCAAAGAGCAAUGCCUGGGGAUAAGGAAAAACAAACAAAUUGGAGACCUCCCCUUAUGCAGUUCGUAUUCAUUACACAGAGUCAAGUAUGGUUCUCUGUAGUGGAUUGGUAGAGCCAAGAGGUGAAGGAGGAGGAAGGUUGUAUUUGAGCAGAAUUAUCUUUUUAAUGCACAUGACAAGUAAGAGACAGGAAAGGAAAGAGGCCGUUUGCAAGGAGUACCAAGUGAAAGAUGAUGGGAACGAAGGAUAA